UGGGGAAAAGGAACAAUGGUGACCGUAUCGUCAGCUUCACCGACUAAGCCAACCCUGUUCCCUCUGGUGGCCUCAUGCGGCUCUGGAACGAGUGGAGAUGUGGUUGCUUUGGGCUGCUUGGCCACAGGGUUCCUGCCCGAUUCCCUGACCUUCAAGUGGACCGACAGUACCGAAAAAGAGCUGACCCCCUUCAGGAAAUACCCGUCCGUGCUCAAUGGGGAGACCUACUCCUCCACCAGCCAGCUGUCCUUGCCCACCUCCGACUGGAACUCAGGAAAAGCUUUCUUCUGUGAGGCCAAACAUCCUCAGGGUGACGUGAAGGUUACAUUUGCCGGGACACCACCUGUCCCCCCUGCAAGUGUGUUGCUAAACCCGCCAUCACUCGAGGAGUUAGCACAAAACCAUACCGCCACUCUGGUCUGUGUGGCCAGUGGCUUCUCUCCUAAAACGCACGAGUUCAAAUGGUGGAGGGGCAAUACCAAAUUGGACGAAGGGGUCACCAAUAUCCCUGCCACUGAGGACGAGAAGAAACUGUACAGUGCGAGCAGCCUCUUAACUGUGACUGAGAAGGACUGGAAAAGUUCUGCUGAAUUUGCGUGUGAAUUUGUCCACAAGACAGGAAGUGUACUGAAGAACAUUACCUACACUUCACCUGAGUGCCAGGAAACAGUCAAGGUCGUCAUUGAGCCCCCAACAAAUGAGGAGCAGUUCGUGAAAAAUACCGCCACCCUCACUUGCAGAGCCAUCGGCCUGGUAUCUACCAGUGAUGUUUCGAUGACAUGGAGCUCAGGGGGCAAACCGCUGGCUGCUGGGGCCCCUGAAUUUGGACAUGAAGGAGGGAAAAUUGUGGCUGUGUCUAGAGUGUCCGUGGUCCUGGAGAAAUGGCGCACGGGCACAGAGUACAAAUGCAUUGUAUCACACCUUGAUUCUUUUCCCACCCCGAUAACAAAAACCUACAAAAGACAGAUCGCUACGAAAAUCCGCCCGUCCGUCUUCCUUCUCGCUCCAUCAACCGAAGAAAGCUCCAGCACUAGGGAUGAGGUGACCCUGACCUGCUUCGUCAAAGACUUCUCCCCGAAGGACAUCUACAUCUCUUGGCUUGCUCAGGAUAGCGUAGUUGACAAGACCCAUUACACCGUCACCGAUUUGAUCCCCUCGCACGACGGGACCUAUUCCGUCUACAGCAAAUACACCAUAUCGUCCAGCGACUGGAACAGCGGCACGAUGUACUCGUGCGCCGUCCACCACGAAACCGCCCCCCUCCCGGUCUCCGUCAUUACCAGAACCACAGACAGUUCUACUGGUAAAGCAACUCUGGUCAAUCUCACCCUCAACCUUCCCGACACCUGCCCAGCGCAAGCGUAACACGUCCCCCGUCCCAGUGUACCCAGUGUCAUGUACUGUCUGCUGUUGUGCCUCUGUAUUGUAACAGAAUGUCACGUUGUCUUCUGUCUGUCUCUUUAACAGCUGUGUUUCAAACUUAAAAAGCAAAAACAAAACAAAAUAAAAAAUAAGAACGAC